rnacentral:tRNA from 1 species
UUAAUUGAAACCAAAAAGAGGUAUUCCACUGUUAAUGGAUAAACUGGAAAAAUUCCCAAUUAAA